rnacentral:rRNA from 1 species
GACGAACGCUGGCGGCGUGCUUAACACAUGCAAGUCGAACGAAGUGGCGAACGGGUGAGUAACGCGUAAUCAACCUGCCCUUCAGAGGGGGACAACAGUUGGAAACGACUGCUAAUACCGCAUACGGAAGGAGGGGCUGGCGUCUGAUUAGCUAGUUGGAGGGGUAACGGCCCACCAAGGCGAUGGUCAGUAGCCGGUCUGGAAGGAUGGCCGGCCAAAGUGGGACUGAGACACGGGCCAGAAUCCUAAGGGAGGCAGCAGUGGAGAAUCUUCCGAACUGGAGGAAAGUCUGACGGAGCAACGCCGCGUGAGUGAUGACGGGCUUCGGGUUGUGAAGAUCUGUUAAUCGGGACGCGGUACCGGAAUAGAAAGCCACGGCUAACUACGUGCCAGCAGCCGCGGUAAUAC